AGUGGCGGACGGGUGAGUAACGCGUGAGAAUCUGCCUUGGGGUCGGGGACAACCACUGGAAACGGUGGCUAAUACCGGAUAAACCGAUUGGUGAAAGAUUUAUUGCCCGAAGAGGAGCUCGCGUCUGAUUAGCUAGUUGGUGAGGUAAGAGCUCACCAAGGCAGCGAUCAGUAGCUGGUCUGAGAGGACGAUCAGCCACACUGGGACUGAGACACGGCCCAGACUCCUACGGGAGGCAGCAGUGGGGAAUUUUCCGCAAUGGGCGAAAGCCUGACGGAGCAAGACCGCGUGAGGGAGGAAGGCUCUUGGGUUGUAAACCUCUUUUCUCAGGGAAGAAGCUCUGACGGUACCUGAGGAAUCAGCCUCGGCUAACUCCGUGCCAGCAGCCGCGGUAAUACGGAGGAGGCAAGCGUUAUCCGGAAUUAUUGGGCGUAAAGCGUCCGCAGGUGGCGAUUCAAGUCUGCUGUCAAAGCACGGGGCUUAACUCCGUAAAGGCAGUGGAAACUGAAUAGCUAGAGUGCCGUAGGGGUAGAGGGAAUUCCCGGUGUAGCGGUGAAAUGCGUAGAGAUCGGGAAGAACAUCGGUGGCGAAAGCGCUCUACUGGACGGCAACUGACACUCAGGGACGAAAGCUAGGGGAGCGAAUGGGAUUAGAUACCCC
rnacentral:rRNA from 1 species